UUAGCUGAUGACAUAGUGCCUGUGGCAGUGUAUAGUCAUGGCAGCAUGUUUUAUGGUACAACAGCAAGUGGAUUGAAGUGUUUGGAUCCUAUAUUUUUCUUGAUGAAUCCUAAACCUAGUUAUCAUAUUCAAAUUCUUGGGAAGGUACCUAAGGAACUUACAUGUGCUGGUGGAAAGUCAAGUGUUGAAGUGGCUAAUUAUAUUCAGAAACAGUUGAGUGAUGCUUUGGGAUUUCAGUGUACAAAUUUAACUAGGAGGGAUAAGUACAUGAUGCUUGCAGGGAAUGAAGGGAUCGUUCAACAAGUUAAUUCCAAAAAAUGCUCUUGAUGAACAUAUAUGCUUUUUUAAAAAAAGAUUAGUCAAUCUUUUUUUGUAUACUAGUUUUCUUUUGGUCUUGUUUGUUAUCUUGAUUAUGACAUUUAUGAAUUGUGAUUUUAAUGAAAUGAAAGUGAAUUGCAUAUUCAUGUACAAUGUACUUCUACUUCUUGUCCUCAACCAGUUGAACUGUGAAUUGACAUUGCCUAUGGUUUGGUUGUGUGACUAGUUCAAUAAAAGAUGUUGAAUCUCAAGUAAAAAUAAUGGUGGAAGUAGUCACAAGAAAAAGAGGUUUAAAUUGUGACUCUUCUAAAAAUUGUUUUUCAGAAUCAUUUUGGUAUGUUGGUUGAUAUGAUUCUGAUGUAUAAGUGAAUGAGGACAAAAGUGUAUACAACUCCAUAAUCAAUCUGAUAUGCUAACUAAUAUGAUUCUGAUAUAUGUGUGAUUAUUGCACUGAAGUGUAUAUGACUUCAUAAUUAAUUUGACUUAUAUGAUUAUGAUGUGUGUAAAUCUAUCUAUAAUAAAAAAGAAAGAUAGAAGAUUUAAACACACAAGAUUUAUUCUGGUUCAUCCAAUGUGGGUUGCUCCAGUCAUCCCAAAUGUGAGAGUUCGGUAUGUUUUCGUGACAACCUCUCAAAUUAUGCAUAAUUCUUUUUAUGACCUAGACAUACCUUAGCGGUCUGUUUGUUUGAAGAGAAAUAGGGAAGAGAGAGAUAGAGAAGAGAGAAAUAGGAAAGAGAUGAUGACUUUCUCUUGUUUGAAAUGAAGAGAAAUAGGGAAGAAAGAUUAUAAAAUGGUGGGUUCCAUUGCCUUUUGUUUUCUCCUUGAGACCGCGAAGAAAGGGAAGAGAAGUGUUGUUGUUCCAAUUUCACCCAUGUAUUUAAAUCUUGGUCUUAUAUUCUCAUUUACAAUCUAUAAUUAUUUCUGUAAAUUACAAAAAUGGCUCUUCAAUAUGAAUUUUUUAUUUUUUAGAAAAAAAUUCAUGAACAAUAUGAAGAAUAAUACGCAGGAAAAGUUGCAAAAAAACGCAGGAAAAGCACUAUUGGAGAGGAAAGGAACUGAAAGUAUCAAUUGCUGGUCAAUGAACAAUAAGGAAAUCAUUUAAAAAAAUACAAGGGCAAUCCAAUCACCAAAGCAAAUCAUGGGUGAAGAGUGAAGACAUCGUUUUUUUUUUAUUAAUUAAAAUCAAUUAAAAAAAUACAAGGGCAUUAUUGUACUUUUGAAAUUAAACAACAUUUCUCUCUCUUCUAUUUCUCUUCUUUUUCUCUUAAACCAAACAAUACCUCAAAUUCUAUUUAUCACUUUUUUUUCUCUCUUCUCAAACUCUUUCUCACAUUUUUUUCUCUUCUCAAUUUCUCUUCACAGUCAAACACACUCUACAAGUAUGAGUCUGAGAUGGAUAAUAUUCUCUAACUUUUUUGAGGAAAAGUCAUGUGACUUUGUGAUGUAUGAGUCAUGUGACUUUUAUUUACCAGGAUUAGCGCUUGUUUUUCCUUCACGCUUUUGUACAUGCAAGAGAAGCUCUUUAUCAAGAUGAGAACUCGAGGUCGAGUUCUUUUGAGGUAGAGGAGACUGAUGUAGGACGAUUUCUUCAAUAUUUUAUUAUUUUAGUUAGAUUUAGUUUUAUUAUAUUUUAGGAAGAUUUCUUAUUUUUAUAUUUCACCUAGAUUAGUUAUUUUUAUAUUUUAGGUAGAUUUGUUAUUUUUAUUUAGCUAUGUUUGUUAUUUUUAUUUUUACAAUCUUUUAGAAGGUUUGUUAUUUUUAUUUUUUUACUACUAUUUAAGCUAAACUAUUAUAGUCUUGAAGGCAAACCUUUUGAUUCAAUAAAAUAUAGAGAAUUUUCUCAAAUUUGGUGGAUUCCAAAUUAUUCUUUCUGGUGGAUUCCAGAACUUUUAUCUAACAGGAUUAACGCUUGUUUUUCUUUCACGCUUCCGUACUGCGUCACUUUGUCUCUAUCUCUCUCCUCUUUUAUCUUCUCUCUCAUCUGUUCCCUCCAAAAUUUAUUCAUAUUUUUACAUUAUCUUAUUCCCUCCGGUCCUUAAUAUAAGAAAUGAGAAUGUUAACAUGUGCCCUUAAGUUGCAAAAAUAGAAAUUAUUAAAUUUUAAUUUGUGCAUUUUAAGUUUUGAAGCAUUAAAUUUCUUGUAUCUUUAAAUGUUGAGUUUUUAUAUUGGGAUAUCUUAACAUGUGUCAUUAACAAGACCCUAAUAUAAGAAAACUUUCACUUUUUAAAUACAUUGAAACAUUGAUGUAUCUAGACUAUAUUGCUCCAAAAUUGAAGGACCCGAAUUCUUAUACUAGAGACCAAAAGAUAAUUCAGCCUUUCAACCAUACUUAAAAGGAAACUAUAUUUUUUUUUUUAAAAAAAGAAGUUGAAUUAGUAGAUUUUCUUUAACAAAAAUGUUGUGUAUCUCGAAAGAGGAACGCUUAAUAUAGCGAAAAUGAAUAUCACGAUUUUUUCACGAACAUGUACCACAAGCAACAAAAACAACCGACUUGCAUUAUUUAGUUAAUUCAACUCGCUCAUUUUUCUUUUUUGAGGAAAAUUCAACUUCACUAUUCAAAACGGUGUGUGUUUGGUUUUGUAUAACCUUUCUGGCACUCUAGAAUGCUUCCAUGCUUAUGAUGUUGCAUACCAACCACCAAGUGUCAUUUUUUGCCACAAUAAUAAGAAGUUCCACGUCGGUUGUGUGAUGGCCUUGACAAGUGUUUAUAAGCAAGUGACAAUCCUCACCUUACAAGCCGAUUUUGUAAGGAUGAGUUAGGCUCAAUACUCAUUUCUAAGAUGGUAUCAGAGCCUCUCCCCGAUCCGUUGAGCCACCUAUUAUCAGGUUUCCGCUAUCGGGCCACCCACCGUUUAUAUCCACACACCAAGUCCAAUAGUGUUGGGCGUGAGGGGGUGUGUUAAGAAGUCUCACAUCGGUUGUGAGAUGACAUUGACAAGUGUUUAUAAGCAAGUGACAAUCAUCACCUUACAAAUUGGUUUCGUAAGGAUGAGUUAGGCCCAAUACUCAUUUCUAAAACACGAAGUUGUGAAACGUGAUUAAAGAUGGUUUAAUCUGUUUAUAUAGUGAUAAAGUGCUUCCAUGCUUAUGAAGUUGCAUACCAACCACCAAGUGUCAUUUUUUGCCACCAAGUUAUGAAACGUCAUUAAAGAUGGUUUAAUCUGUUUAUAUAAUGAUAAAGUGCUUCAUAUGCUAGCAAUUCAAGUGAGAUAUCAAUAUGAAAACAUGUACUAGUAUUCCUGAAAAAUUCGUGUGAAAUACCUUCGCGAGAUAUAACAGAGCUCAUCUCGAAAUAUAAGUUUCACAAAAAUCACUCAAGUUUUUUACUAUUGAUUAAAAUUUUGACCGACCUUUAAUUUUUUGGAACAUUCGCGUUGCAAUCAUUUCGCUCUACAUAGUAGUACUCUUUCUUUAAUAGGUAGAAGUCAAACUCGAUACUCAAACACAAUUAAGCCCUGUACAUGUGCUUCUCAUUUCUCAAAGGAAACAGAUUUCCUGCUGUUUGGUUUCCCACAGUUUUCACGCUGUUUUAAAUUACAGCCGUCCGAUCUAAACUGUGUGAUCAAGAUAGAUUUAAGUGAUUUUAUAACUGUGUUGAUCUGGAUCGUCCGAUUAACAAUCAACGGCCAGAAUCAAAACUGCGUGAAAACUGCGUGAAAAAUUACUGCAGCAAAUCUGCAUCCUUUCUCAAACACAAUUUUGGCAAUAUUAAUUUUAUUUUAUGAAGCAAUUUUGGCAAUAUAUAUUAAUGUCAUAAAUUUAUAUGGUUUCAUCUAUUUUAAAUAGAAGUGACAUAAAUAUGACUAUCUUGUUUUGCCUAAUUUGUUAAAUCUAACUCAACCGAAGAAACAUGUUUGAAUCUUAAUACACCCCAAUUCACUGUAUUGUAUGAUUGUUGUAGGGGACCCAAAUCCCAUAGAUAAUACUUUCACCGUACCAAAAUAUAAGUCAUUUUGACGCUAUUAUAUAAAUUAAAAAAUAUAAUUAAUGUUAUAUGAAAAAGAGAAAUUAUGAAUUAGUUUACAAAAUUAUCUUUUAUUAAUAGCAUGAAAAAAAUAAAUUGAAGAGUUGAAGAAAAAAAAUAGAGUAAUAAACAGUUAAAAGUAUAAUAGAAAAAAUUAAUAACAGUAAAUAUUUCAUUAGUAUUGUAAUGUGACUUAUAUUUUAGUACAAUUUUUUUUCUCAAAGCGACUUAAUUCUUAUAUUUUAGUACGUAAAAUUGAGCGGAGGAUACUUUACCACUCCUUACCUCACCAUUUAAAAUAUUCCUCAACACCGUCCUCAUUCCCUGCUUCGGUGAGUAUUCUUUCUUCAUCCUCAUCUCUGCGGAGAUCCAUCAACCUUGAAAAAAUAUCAAAUUUCUAUUAUUUUCAAUAAGGUAAUCGUAAAAAAAUAGUAAAGUUUAAUUAUAAAAUAAAUAAAAAUAUUAAAAUAUUUUAUAAAUUACUCAAGUAUACAUUUAUAAAUAUUAUUUUAAUAAAAAAAAUUGGGGACGGGAGUCUCUGCAGAGUGGGAGGUAAAAUUGUCCCCAUUUUCAAUUUUCCUCCAUCUCCAUAACAAAAAAAAAAAAAAAACUCCAUGAAAUGACAUCCUUAAGUACGGAGGUAGUAUUUGCUCGAUGAAAAUUAAAGAAUACAGUACUACUCCUAUCGACAAGUAUUUAAGUGUGAGUAAUUACCUCUCACACAUUUAAUUAAGCAACUAACAUCAUAACUAUUAACUGAUCCACUUCAAGUAUGAUCAAUAACAGCCUUGCGAAUGUGUGAACAAAAGUCAAACUUAACUUAAAGAUAUCUAAUUGUCAUUUGGUCAAUUUGAGUAAUUUGAAUGUUAUUUUUUUUAUUAUUAUCGAUUUUAGUUAUAUUUAUAUAUUGUGCAUUUAUACAUAUAUUUAAUUUUAAAUUUAAUUUUUAAAUAACGUAUCUCAGCCGUAUUGUAUUGGGAAUUUUGAAAAAUUUACCGUAUUGCCGUAUCAGUGUCGUAUUGUAUCGGUAUCGUAUCAUGUAUUGGAGCUUCAUAGAUUUUGACCAAAGAAUAUUAUAAAAAUGGUUAAUUCAAAAGUCAAUUUAUCCAAUGAUGUGGGUUAUCUAACUCUCUAUUGGCUCAUAUAUAUGGACACAUAAACAGCAAAAGAAAAAUGGAAUGAGAAUUUGUUUGAUGAAUCAAUCCUUCAAUCACUCUAUAAAUAUUAAUGCCAACUGUGUGGUAAUGCCAACUGUGUGGUUAACCAAAUGCUUCAAUCACUCCUUUAAUGACUCUAUAAAUAUUGGUCCAACUUGAUUACCAUCACUACAAAAUUGAUAGAGCAGCUAAUAGGAGUUGGCACUCACAAAACCAUUCAUUUAUUAAAUUAUCAUCUAUCCGUUCCAAAAUUUAAGUUACUUUAGCCAAAUUGCACAAAUUAAAAAAUAUAAUUAAUAUUGUAUGAAAAAGAAAAAUUAUGAGUUAGUUUACAAAAUUAUUCUUCAUUAAUAGUAUAAGAACGAUAAAUUGAAAGAAGAGAGAGUGAUAAAUAGUUAAGAGUAUAAUAGGAAAAAUAACAUUAAAUGUUUCAUUGCUAAUGUAAAGUGACUUAUAAUUUGGUACAAAUUUUUUUCUCAAAGUCACUUACAUUUUGGAACGGAGGGAAUAUCAUUUAUGUUAUAAAAAAAUAUUUAAUUAACUAAUAUAAGAUGUUAUAUUUUAUAAAAAAAUCUGAAACACUUUAAAAAAUUUCAAAAAAAUAUUAAUAAAACAAAAACCAUUAAAUAUAGUGCAACGCAAAAAACGGCAUGAAAAACGGACGUCUCUAAUCCGCGAGUGCGCUUUGUACACCCAUAAAUAUUACUAUCUUUACACUCUGCUCUUCGCCACAUAUACACACAUUUCCAAUUCCUAUCCUUAAAGAGAUUUUCUAAGGCUUGUAGAUUUUGUUUUGUACCAGCUACUAGCUAGUUCAUAUUAUAGAGCUGCAAGAAAAAUGAAAAGUUAUGGUUUUAAUUUAGCUUAUCUUUCAUCUAAACCACCUCAUCAACCUUGUUCAUUUCCUAGUAUAACAAAAUGUGAUUUACAAGGUAGAAUGUCACAAACACUUGUUUGUGACAUUCAUAGAGUUCUCUUGAAAUCUCAUUCUUUUUUUCCAUUUUUCAUGCUUGUUGCUUUUGAAGGUGGCAGCAUUUUUAGAGCUUUUUUGUUGCUUAUGUCUUGUCCUUUACUUAUGAUUUGUGAUUAUGAGUUUAAGCUAAAGAUUAUGACUUUUAUUACUUUUUGUGGUUUAAAAAUAAAGGACAUGGAAAAUGUUUCAAGGGUUGUUUUACCAAAGUUUUAUUUAGAGAAUCUUAAUGUUAAAGUUUAUGAGGUUUUGGCUUCAACAGGGUCAAAGGUUGUCAUCACAAGUGUUCCUAGAGUUAUGGUUGAAGGAUUCUUGAAGGAAUAUUUGAGUGUCGGUCAUGUUAUAGGGACAGAGUUGCACACUUUUGGUUGCUACUUCACUGGUUUUCUCACUAGCUCUGGCUUAGUGGUUAGACAUAGAGCACUUGAUGAUUAUUUUGGUGAUAGAAAACCUGAUAUUGGAAUUGGAACUUCAAGUUUAUAUGAUCAUCUUUUCAUUUCAUCUUGCAAGGUAAGUUUGAAUUUAGGUCCUAUGUUUUAAAGGUUAAUACAAUGUCUAAACUCCCUCAUAAUAUGUUUUCCUUAAAAACCAGAUGGUUGAUACAAAACACUCUCUUAAAUCCUUGGAUGAAGGGGUGCAUAUUUUUAACUUAUUUUAUUGUUUAAUGAAAUUAAAAAAAUUAUUGUUUUGGUUCCCUGAGCGGUGAGUCUAGCUCAGUUGGUAGGAAAAUUACAUUAUUAUAUGCAGGAGUCGGGGUUUGAACUCCUAAACACUCCACUUAUUCACAUUUAAGAUGUAAUUUCUAGUCACUAAGCUACUAAACAAAAAAUAAUUAUAGUUUUGUCAUUUCUACAUAAACAAAUAUAACUAUAUUUUUUAAGUCAAAAAAAUAAUUAUCUUUUUAAAAUAAACGCAUAAUUUUUUUUUUUAUCUUUCAUGAUUUUUCAGACCUCUAAUAAAUUAUAAUUUAUUUUUAAGUUACUAUGAUAUAGAUAUGAAAUUACUGUGCCACAAGUGUAGCUCAAAUGAUAGUUAUCAUAGACAUCGUUGGAGUGGCUAGGAUUCGAACUCAGGAUUCCACAUUUCUCUACAUUUAAAUGUGUGAGAGUCAAAUCACUAGGUUACUUGAAAAAAAAUUAAAUUACUACCUCCAUUUAAAAGUGACUAAUCUUUGACGGGAAGUCUUAGUUACAUAAAGUGAAUUCUUUCAUUCCAACUAAAUUUUAUCAAUAUGCAAAAUAAGAUAUCAAACUCUUCACUAUCCGUUUAAGAGAGACCCAAAUUUCUUACUAUUUUAACUAAUUCAUUGAUAAUAAAUUAUAAUAUUUAUCACUUGAAAUAUAAGUGAGAAAUAUCACUAAUCGUCAAUAACUAAAAAUUAGAAACAAAGAUAGUAAAGAAAAAUGAGAACGGGAAAAAUAGAAAUCUAGAAAAGUUUUCUAAACGAGUAAUCCUAUGUGGGUUUUUUUUUUUUAAAUCAACUUAUACGUAUAUUUGAACUUUUUUUUGUGAUCAUGUUUAGUAAAUUAUAAAAAUAUUUCUGACAAAAGGUUAAUUUCUUUUAAAGAGGGAAGAAUUAAGUAUGAAAUUUUAUAUUUUUUCGCUUAAAUUAAUACUUUCUUAAAAAAAAUAGUAUAAUGUCAUUUGAUGCAAACAAGUAUAAGGGUAUCCUUCCGGCUGUAUGUCUGUGAGAUCACAAUCACUGACUACGUUUUUGAAGCCAUUACAAAGCCAAUUAGGGAGAGGUGGUAGAGACCCUUUUUUGUCGUCUUGUGAUAGUAAAUCAUUGAAGUCACCAACGAUACACCAAGGUAACUCAGACAUAUUUCUCAAUUCUCUCAACAAGUCUCAUGCUUGUCUCCUUCCUCCUCUUUCAGGAUAGUCAUAAUAACAUGUUAAUCUUGAUUCUUCUCCCUCAUUCUCUUCCACUACUAAGUUAAUAAAAUUCCGUGAAUAAUUCAAAACUCUGCAUUUUAUGGUAUCUCUCCACAUGACAGACAAUCCUCCACUCCUCCCCUCCACAUCAACAUACAAACAAGAAUUAAAGUUUAUGUUCACACGAACACGUUCCAUAGUUUGGGUUUUAGAUAAAGUUUCAGACAAAAAAAGAAUAUCUUGUUUGUGGCAUUGAACAAUAUUUCGAAGAUUAGGAAUUGCACUCGGAGUGCUCAACCCCCGACAAUUCCAACUGAGGAUUUUCAUUGAUCCCUAUAGUCUUGGCUGCCAGGACCUGCCGCUAAAAAAUGCUCAAACAUAUUCAGAUUCACCCGGUUUGUGUUUUCCUCCUCUCUUCUUCUCUUUUUUAAAAUCGAAAAUUCAUGUAAAUCAUUUAAUUCAUUUAUUGCUAAUGGGGGAAGAAUGAAUAUAUGACACAUGUACAUUUUGCUUUGAAAAAAGGGUCUAAAUAAUAUUAGUAUAGAUAACUACCCCCUCUGUUCCUUAUAAUAAGUAACACUUUGACGGAAAAAUUUGAUCUUUUUUAUAUGAAAUUUUGACUAAUUUUCAAAUGUUUUAAAUGUUCAAUUUCACUUAUGCCCUUAUUUAUUAUGAGAGAGAAUUUAAAAAUAAGUAAGUUAGUUGAAUAAAGAGGAAUUAAAUAAGGGUAUACAUACAACAAUUUAAAUUUAUAAGAGUAUUAAAUGAAAAUAACUAUAUUAAAUGUGCUUCUUUGAUCUGUGUGAUUUUUUCAAAUUGUUCCUUAUAAAAAGGAUAAGAGGGAGUAAUUUAGUGUAGAUGUUUUAAUUAUGUUGAUGUAUUAUGUCUAAUUACAGCUCUACAUGAUUAUGACAGGAAAUUUAUGUGGUGAACAGUGAUGAAAACUCAAUCAUGCCAAGGGACAAAUAUCCAAAGCCAAUAAUUUUUCAUGAUGGAAGAUUAGCAUUCUUGCCAACACCCUCAUCAACACUCUACAUGUUCAUGUGGCUACCAUUAGGACUUUUUUUAGCAAUUUAUAGAAUGCUUAUUGGUAGAUUCUUGCCAAUCAAAUUAUCACUUCCAUUAGGAUGUUGGACUGGAUUAGAUCUAAACCUCAAAGGCACUGAACCUAAAAAAACAGAACAAAACAGAGGUGUUCUGUUUGUAUGCACACAUAGGACACUAUUAGAUCCUGUUUUCCUAAGUGCAUUAUUAUUACUGUUAAGAGAAGAGAUUAUUCAUAGAGAAAGAGAAAAGGAGGCUAGGGUUUUUACAUUAGGAUAAAACCAAGUNNNNNNNNNNNNNNNNNNNNNNNNNNNNNNNNNNNNNNNNNNNNNNNNNNNNNNNNNNNNNNNNNNNNNNNNNNNNNNNNNNNNNNNNNNNNNNNNNNNNNNNNNNNNNNNNNNNGAGUUUGUCAAAACAAGAAACAAAUACGAAAAUUUAAGAAAUCAAACCAAAAUUAACCAAAUCAACUAAUACCACAACCAUCAGAGAGCAGAACUAAAUCAAAUUGAUCCAAUAUCCAAUCCAAAGCAUCUGAAACCGAACCAAUCGAACAACUCCAAGCUAAGCCGGACCAAAUUGUACCAAUACAAAUCAAACCAAAUCAAACAUAAUCCAAACUAUCAGAAAGAAGAAUCAUACCACCAAACAGNNNNNNNNNNNNNNNNNNNNNNNNNNNNNNNNNNNNNNNNNNNNNAGCAACCGAAAAAGAAGAACAAACGGAGGGGAGGAAGCAAACCGAAGAGAAAUCAUCAAAGAGAAACUUCCAAACAUAAGAGAAAUCAUCAGGGAGAAGAAUCAAAUCACCAUAGAGAAGAACCAAAUCAAACAGAAGAUGUCAACAUAGGGAGGAGCAAUCAAACAAAAGAAAUUAAUAGGGAGAAGCAAUCAAACAUAAGANNNNNNNNNNNNNNNNNNNNNNNNNNNNNNNNNNNNNNNNNNNNNNNNNNNNNNNNNNNNNNNNNNNNNNNNNNNNNUAAGACAAGAAUCAUCAGGGAGAAGCAAACAGAAGAGAAACAAUCAGACAAAAGAAAUUAACAGGGAGAAGUAAUCAAAUAGGAGAAUUGACAAAGAGAGAGAGUCAAUCAACAGAACCAAAUAGGCCAAUCUAAAUGAGUUGAAGAGAUAGUGUUUAUUAAAGAACUUCUUGUAUGCACGUGGUAAUCCUUAAUGGAUAAAACAGUUUUUAUCUUGUAGAAAACUCUUAAGCAGUUGCUAACUUAAUAAUCAGGUCUCUGUACAAGACGAACAGAGACCCGUAGAAGAGGGGUUACAAAAACAAAGUCGUCGUGCCGUAUAUAAGUGGAACGUCAAUGAAAAUACCAAAACAGACACCACCUAAUAGAGGUCCACUAGAGAAGAGAGGUGUUUGAAGAGAUAUUGAUUCUUGAAUCAUUUGAGGAACUAUGAAUUCUUUGCUGCAUCUUCUUCAGAGAUUACAUCUUUAACCAGACAAAAUUUGUUGCUGAUGCAAUGCAGUCUCCUUCAAAUUGUUUAGGAUCUCUUGAAAUCUCUCAUAAAAAACUUAAGGAAUGAAGGUGGAACACAUUCUUUUAUAUAGGCAAUGUAGGUUGCUUCUAAACUUGGUCCAUAAGUCAUCAACUAGCAGCUAUCUUUGACUUGUGUCAUAAUUAGCCUAUCAAGACAUUUUAAGAGCAUACAGAACAAAACCUUAGUACACAUACAACUUUCUGGAUAAAACCAAAACAUGUCACAUUGGUGACUUCAUUGCCUAAUGCCUAACACUAAUUCACACAACUUGAUUUUUUAUUUUUAUAAGAAAAGAAAUUAAACUACUAAAUAAAACGAGACAAACUAACUCCUCUUACAUCAUCUUUCAGAACAAGUUUCAAAGCAAAAAGAUAAACAUAAAAAAAAAAAUCGUGUUUUUCUCCUAUCAAGAUUUGAGUUUUGAACUUCCAACUCCUUAACUUUUAGUUCAACUAGUUUAACCAAUUGAACUAUACAGAUCUCAUUCCGUCCCAUGAAAUAUGCAAGGUGUUUAUGAGAUUUUGCCAUAAAAAUUGUUCAAAGUGCACUGCAGAUUUCUCUAAUUUAAACAUCUAGCUUUUUGAGACCAACUUUCUGCCCCAAAAUUAAGGACCUGGAUUCUUAUACUAAAAACCAAAAGAUAAUCCAGCCUUUCAACCAUACUUAAAAGGAAAACUAUAAUUAAAAAAAAAAAAAAAACACUUGAAUUAGUAGAUUUUCUUUAACGAAAAUGUUGUGUAUCUCGAAAUAUAGUUUCGCAAAAAUUACCGAAGUAUUUUACUAUUGACUAAAAUUUUGACCAACCUUUAAAAAUGAAACACAUAGUUUUUUGGAAUAUUUGCGAAGCAAUCUCUUCGCUCUACAUAGUAGUAUCUUUUUUUAAUCGUAGAAAUCGAACUUGAUACUAUGGAGUUUAAAACACUCACUUACUUUGUGUUGCAACCACUUAUGUGGAUCUUGAAUUACUGGACAACCUAAAUCCCCAACAAUUACAUGUGAUCUAAAGUUUUUUGCCUAUUGAAUUUUAAUUUAACCAAAAUUGUAUUUUUAUUUACUCAUGCAAGAGGAACGUAAGAGAGGGAAAACAGAACCAUAGAUUUGUGAAUCUUCUUAAAAAGUGUCCAUGCAAACAUUGUGCCUUUGAACAGCCAUUUAUCAAAUGAUUAAGACUUCACCAAAUCACUAAAUGAAGAUGACAUGAAUUGUUCCCCACUUUACGUUUCGGGAAGUAUUCUUCCUCUAUCUUCAUCCCCGCGGUUCUUACGAAGAUCCUCAACCUUAAAAAAAAUAUCAAAUUUCUAUUAUUUUCAAUCAAGUUAGUUGUAAAAUAAAUAAUAAAGUUUAAUUAUAAAACAAAUAAAAAAAAUUAAAAUAUUAUUGUGACAUUAAUUAAUAAACAUCAUAUAUAUAUAUAUAUAUAUAUAUAUAUAUAUAUAUAUAUAUAUAUAUAAACAAAUGUAGUAUACACAUAUUAUGUAAAAAUAUAAUUAAAAAUAUUUUAUAAAAUGCGCAAGUAAAUACAUUUAGGAACAGGGAUGAAAUCUCCAGAGAACAUAAUAAAAUUUCUCCCCGUUCCUAAACCUCUCUCUAUAGGCAUUCUCCUCCAUCCCAUUCUCACUAAAAAAAAUUCUCCAUCUUCCAAACGAAAUAAUUUGCUCAAUGAAAAUUAAAGAAUAAAGAAUACUCCCUACUACUAUCAACGAGUAGUUUUUUUUUUUUUUUUUUAUAACAAUAUCAACCAGUAGUUAAGUGUGAGUAAUCACCUCUCACACAUUUAAUUAGCCAAUUAAAACCAUAACUAUUAACCGAUCCACUUCAAGUAUGAUCAAUAACAGCCUUGGGAAUAUGUGAACAAACGUCAAACUCUGACAGUCUACAAAGUUUUACUCAAGAAGAACAAAAGAUGGAGUAUGUACUUUCCUGGAAGGAGCAUUUUGACUGACCAAAGAAUAUUACUAGUAUAAAAAUGGUUAAUUCAAAAGUCAAUUUAUCAAAUGAUGUGGGUGAUCUAACUUUCUAUUGGCUCAUAUGGACACACAAACGGCAAAAGAAAAAUGGAAUGAGAAUUUAUUUGAUCAAACAAUCCUUCCAAAAACAGUACACACAUACUUAAACAAAAAUUAUUCUCUGCGUACAACUGCAACAAGUACUUUGUUUAGGCGAAUGAAAAUAAUAAUAAACGAUAAAAAAAUUUCUUAAAAAAUUUAACAAUGAAAUACCACAAUUAUACAACCUGCCUACUUUUUUUUUGUGUCAAUUUUUAAUAUUUUGUCACAGACUGUGUGCACAAACUGAUGAGGUGUACGGUAUCUAUACAUUAUCCGAAAAAUUGUUCGGAUAGCGGCUCUCGAUUUAAAAUUGGUAGUACAGAGUGUGUGCUUGGCCUAACUUUGUGCAAAAGAAAUAUUACUACCAAAACUUUCAAAGGCGGUCACCAACCUACUCUAUUAAACAUUAUUACUAUCUGGCAACAUGUUGAAAGCACUAGCAUGAAAAAUAAAAAUUUUCAAAUACUAUUACCAAAAAAUGAAAAAUGUAAAACGAAUUCAAAAUGAAAAUGUGAAAGGUGAAGUUAAUGCCAACUGUGUGGUUAACCAAAUGCUUCAAUCACUCCUUUAAUGACUCUAUAAAUAUUACUAUCUUUGCACUUCUCUUCACCACAUAUACACACAUUUCCAAUUCCUAUCCUUAAUCCUUAAAUUCCAUUUACUUUUUGCCUUCUCAAAAAUCAUCAACAAAGAGAUUUUUAUUUUUAUUUUUUUAUUUUUUUUUAUUUUGAAAAAUAGCAUGAUGUUUCCAAUGGUUCUUCUAAGGCUUGUAGAUUUGGUUUUGUACCAGCUACUAGCUAAUUCAUAUUAUAGAGCUGCAAGAAAAAUGAAAAGUUAUGGUUUUAAUUUAGCUUAUCUUUCAUCUAAACCACCUCAUCAACCAUGUUCAUUUCCUAGUAUAACAAAAUGUGAUUUACAAGGUAGAAUGUCACAAACACUUGUUUGUGACAUUCAUAGAGUCCUCUUGAAAUCUAAAUCCUUUUUUCCAUUUUUCAUGCUUAUUGCUUUUGAAGGUGGCAGCAUUUUUAGAGCUUUUUUGUUGCUUAUGUCUUGUCCUUUACUUAUGAUUUGUGAUUAUGAGUUUAAGCUAAAGAUUAUGACUUUUAUUACUUUUUGUGGUUUAAAAAUAAAGGACAUGGAAAAUGUUUCAAGGGCUGUUUUACCAAAGUUUUAUUUAGAGAAUCUUAAUGUUAAGGUUUAUGAGGUUUUGGCUUCAACAGGGUCUAAAGUUGUUAUCACAAGUAUUCCUAGAGUUAUGGUUGAAGGAUUCUUGAAGGAAUAUUUGAGUGUCGGUCAUGUUAUAGGGACAGAGUUACACACUGUUGGUUGCUACUUCACUGGUUUUCUCACUAGCUCUGGUUUAGUGGUUAAACAUAGAGCACUUAAAGAUUAUUUUGGUGAUAGAAAACCUCAUAUUGGAAUUGGAACUUCAAGUUUACAUGAUCAUCUUUUCAUAUCAUCUUGCAAGGUAAGUUUCAACUUAGCAUCAAUCUUUUGAAGGGUUUGUACUAUGUCUUAAACUCAAUCAGAAACCAUUUUCUCUGAGAAUUAGACGGUUAAAACAAAAAAUAAAAACUUCCUAUGUAAUAGUAACUUGUGUGUCGGAGUCUUGACCUUAGCAGUAGUACUUGUAAGGACUUGAAAUCGUUGAUUACAUGUCUCCUAAAAAAAGGGAAACCAUAUAAACAAAAAAAAUAAAAAAAAUUAAAGGGUUGGCGACGCCAACUAAAAAAGAGUUGGCGAUGCCAACUAAAAAAUUGUUUAUGUAUUUUCUCAUGUCUAACAUAUUAUCAUUUCCUAACUAUUGCGGUCUAGCGCAAGUAGUUGAUGUAUUGAAUGUGUGAGUAUUGUAAACUUAGGGUAUUGAGUUCGAUGUCUGAGAAUAAAAAAAAACAUUAUUUCUGAAUUUGGAAUGUUAGUGCAUUGUAUUGGUUGGUUAGUACAACAAAAGCAUUGUACAAAUCCAAUUGUACUUUGAUCAUAAUUAAUUUAGUGCACAUGUUUUAAUUAUGUUGAUGUGUUAUAUCUAAUUCCAGCUUAACAUGAUUAUGACAGGAAGCUUAUGUGGUGAACAAUGAAGAUAACAAGAAUAGUACUCAAAACUCAAUCAUGCCAAGGGACAAAUAUCCAAAACCAAUCAUUUUUCAUGAUGGAAGAUUAGCAUUCUUGCCAACACCUUCAGCAACACUCUACAUGUUCAUGUGGUUACCAUUUGGAAUUUUUCUAGCAAUUUAUAGAAUCCUUCUUGGUAUUUUCCUGCCUUACAAAUUAGCACUUGAAUUAGGAGUUUUAAGUGGCAUAGAUCUAAACAUCAAAGGCACUGUCCCUAUCAAAACAGAGCAAAACAGAGGUGUUCUGUUUGUAUGCACACAUAGGACACUAUUAGAUCCUGUCUUCUUAAGCACAACAUUAUCUAAACCUUUAACCGCGGUAACAUAUAGUUUAAGCAAAGUUUCGGAGUUCAUAGCGCCGAUUAAGACAGUAAGAUUAACACGAAACAGAAAACAAGACGGCGAAACAAUGCAAAAGUUACUAAAAGAAGGUGAUUUAGUUGUUUGUCCUGAAGGUACAACUUGUAGGGAACCAUAUUUGUUAAGGUUUAGUUCAUUGUUUGCUGAGUUAGCUGAUGAGAUAGUACCUGUGGCAAUGAAUACUCAUGUCAGCAUGUUUUAUGGUACAACAGCAAGUGGAUUAAAGUGUUUGGAUCCUAUAUUUUUCUUGAUGAAUCCUAAACCUAGUUAUCAUAUUCAAAUUCUUGGGAAGGUACCUAAGGAACUUACAUGUGCUGGUGGAAAGUCAAGUGCUGAAGUGGCUAAUUAUAUUCAGAAACAGUUGGGUGAUGCUUUGGGAUUUCAGUGUACAAAUUUAACCAGGAGGGAUAAGUAUAUGAUGCUUGCAGGGAAUGAAGGGAUUGUU
rnacentral:lncRNA from 1 species